rnacentral:rRNA from 1 species
UACGGAGGGUGCUAGCGUUAAUCGGAAUAACUGGGCGUAAAGGGCACGCAGGCGGGGUUUUCAGUGAGAUGUGAAAUCCCCGGGCUUAACCUGGGAAUAGCAUUUCAGACUGGGAGACUAGAGUACUUUAGGGGGGAGUAGAAUUCCACGUGUAGCGGUGAAAUGCGUAGAGAUGUGGAGGAAUACCGAAGGCGAAGGCAGCCCCUUGGGAAUGUACUGACGCUCAUGUGCGAAAGCAUGGGGAGCAAACAGG